rnacentral:lncRNA from 10 species
UUUGUUUGGAAGAGAACAGUGGUGUUUUCAGCAAACACUGGGUGCUGGCUGUAUGCUGGGGAUACAGAGAUGUACGGGACACGCCCUUGCUGGAGCUCAGAGUCAACUGGGGGACACAGAUGUGUAAACAGACAAGCACACUCUGGUGUGAAUUUCACUCUCGUCGCCCAGGCUGGACUGGAGUGCAAUGGUGUGAUCUCGGCUCACUGAAACCUCCACCUCCCGGGUUCAAGCGACUUUGCUGCCUCAGCCCCUUGAGUAGCUGGGAUUACAGAUGCCCGCCACCAUGCCCAGCUAAUUUAUAUAUUUUUAGUAGAGAUCGGGUUUCACCAUGUUGGCCAGGCUGGUCUUGAACUCCUGACCUCAGGUGAUCCACCUGCCUCAGCCUCCCAAAGUGCUGGGCUUACAGGCAUAAGCCACUACACCUGGCCAGGAGUUGGCUUUUAAUUUAAAGAGACUUGAAAGUUGGCCGGGUUUGGUGGCUGAGCCUGGUCUGAAGGCAGGAAAGCUCCU